GCUCCAAUAGCGUAUACUAAAGUUGUUGCAGUUAAAAAGCUCGUAGUUGAAUUUCUGGUCGUGUCAGCUGGUCCGCCUCGUAAGGGGUGUGUACCUGGUUGGUGCGUCCAUCCUCGGGGAGAGCAUGCCUGUCAUUAAUUUGUUGGGUAUGGGACCCCCGUCAUUUACUGUGAGCAAAAUAGAGUGUUCAAAGCAGGCUU
rnacentral:rRNA from 1 species